rnacentral:rRNA from 1 species
ACGGGAGGCAGCAGUGGGGAAUAUUGCACAAUGGGCGAAAGCCUGAUGCAGCGACGCCGCGUGAAUGAAGAAGUAUUUCGGUAUGUAAAGUUCUAUCAGCAGGGAAGAUAAUGACGGUACCUGACUAGGAAGCACCGGCUAAAUACGUGCCAGCAGCCGCGGUAAUACGUAUGGUGCAAGCGUUAUCCGGAUUUACUGGGUGUAAAGGGAGCGCAGGCGGCCUAGCAAGUCUGAAGUGAAAUCCCGGGGCUCAACCCCGGAACUGCUUUGGAAACUGUUAGGCUAGAGUGUCGGAGGGGUAAGCGGAAUUCCUAGUGUAGCGGUGAAAUGCGUAGAUAUUAGGAGGAACACCAGUGGCGAAGGCGGCUUACUGGACGAUAACUGACGCUGAGGCUCGAAAGCGUGGGGAGCAAACAGGAUUAGAUACCCUGGUA